GAUGAACGCUGGCGGCGUGCCUAACACAUGCAAGUCGAACGGAAAGGCCCUGCGCUUGCGGGGUGCUCGAGUGCCGAGCGGGGGUGUAACACGCGAGUAAACUGCCCUUGACUUUGGGAUAACACUAGGAAACUGCGGCUCAUACCGGAUAGGAGCUCCUGCUGCACGGUGGUGGUUGGAAAGUUUCGGCGGUUCGGGAUCGAUUCGCGGCUUAUCCGCUUGUUGGUCGGGUAGGGGCUUACCAAGGCUUUGACGGAUAGCCGGCCUGAGAGGGUGGACGGCCACAAUGGGACUGAGAGACGGCGCAGACGCCUACGGGAGGCAGCGGGGGGGAAUAUUGCAGAAUGGGCGGAAGCCUGAUACGGCAGCGCCGCGUGCGUGAUGACGGCCUUCGGGUGGUAAACCGAUGUGGCCGGUGACGAAGAGUUAGUGACGGUAAUGGGUAAAGAAGCACCGGCUAACUACGUG
rnacentral:rRNA from 1 species